CUACGGGUGGCAGCAGUGAGGAAUAUUGGUCAAUGGGCGCGAGCCUGAACCAGCCAUCCCGCGUGCAGGAUGACGGCCCUAUGGGUUGUAAACUGCUUUUCUAUGCCAAGAAACCCUGUUACGAGUAACAGGUUGCCGGUAGCAUAGGAAUAAGCAUCGGCUAACUCUGUGCCAGCAGCCGCGGUAAUACGGAGGAUGCAAGCGUUAUCCGGAUUCAUUGGGUUUAAAGGGUGCGCAGGUGGGCUUGUAAGUCAGUGGUGAAAUGCUGCCGCUUAACGGUAGAACUGCCAUUGAUACUGCGAGUCUUGAGUAUGGUUGAGGUAGGCGGAAUGUGUUGUGUAGCGGUGAAAUGCAUAGAUAUGACACAGAACGCCAAUUGCGAAGGCAGCUUACUAAGCCAUUACUGACGCUGAGGCACGAAAGCGUGGGGAGCGAACAGGAUUAGAUACCCUGGUAGUC
rnacentral:rRNA from 1 species